CGUACCUAACCUACCUUUUGGACCGGGAUAACCAUUGGAAACAGCGGCUAAUACCGGAUAUAAUAAAAAAAUGCAUGUUUUUUUAUCAAAAGAAGCCUUUAAAGCUUCACCAAAAAAUGGGGGUGCGCAACAUUAGUUAGUUGGUAGGGUAAAGGCCCACCAAGACGAUGAUGUUUAGCGGGGCCAAGAGGCUGUACCGCCACACUGGGAUUGAGAUACGGCCCAGACUCCUACGGGAGGCAGCAGUAAGGAAUAUUCCACAAUGAGCGAAAGCUUGAUGGAGCGACACAGAGUGCAGGAUGAAGUCUUUAGGGAUGUAAACUGCUGUUGUAAGGGAAGAAAAAACUAGAUAGGAAAUGAUUUAGUCUUGACGGUACCUUAUUAGAAAGUGACGGCAAACUAUGUGCCAGCAGCCGCGGUAAUACAUAGGUCGCAAGCGUUAUCCGGAAUUAUUGGGCGUAAAGCGUCCGCAGGUUUUUUGUUAAGUUUAAGGUUAAAUGCUAAAGCUCAACUUUAGUUCGCUUUAGAUACUGACAAAAUAGAAUUAUGAAGAGGUUAGCGGAAUUCCUAGUGGAGCGGUGGAAUGCGUAGAUAUUAGGAAGAACACCAAUAGGCGAAGGCAGCUAACUGGUCAUAUAUUGACACUAAUGGACGAAAGCGUGGGGAGCAAACAGGAUUAGAUACCCUGGUAGUCCACGCCGUAAACGAUGAUCAUUAGUUGGUGGCAAAAGUCACUAGCACAGCUAACGCGUUAAAUGAUCCGCCUGAGUAGUAUGCUCGCAAGAGUGAAACUUAAAGGAAUUGACGGGAACCCGCACAAGCGGUGGAGCAUGUGGUUUAAUUUGAAGAUACGCGUAGAACCUUACCCACUCUUGACAUCCUCGCAAAACUAUAGAGAUAUAGCGGAGGCUAACGAGAUGACAGAUGGUGCAUGGUUGUCGUCAGCUCGUGUCGUGAGAUGUUAGGUUAAGUCCUGCAACGAGCGCAACCCUUUUCUUUAGUUGCUAACAUUAAGUUGAGAACCCUAGAGAUACUGCCGGUGCAAACCGGAGGAAGGCGGGGAUGACGUCAAAUCAUCAUGCCUCUUACGAGUGGGGCAACACACGUGCUACAAUGGCUACUACAAAGAGCAGCGAAACAGUGAUGUCA
rnacentral:rRNA from 2 species